CCCGCCACUGCACCUGACCACUUCCCCGUUGGCUGGUGCAAUCCAGUGGUGAGCUGACAGUGACCCCAGCUAAGGAAACAGGGCUGUUCUUGGUGUGGGCAGCCCUGUGCCGAGAGCAUGGGCACAGCC
rnacentral:snoRNA from 3 species